GCUCUGGUGGCCUAGUGGUUAGAGCAUCCACCUUGGAUGCAGGAGGUCAUUGGUUUGAUCUCCGACUGAGUCAUACCUAAAACA